GACGAACGCUGGCGGCGUGCUUAACACAUGCAAGUCGAACGAAGUGGCGAACGGGGGAGUAACGCGUAAUUAACCUGCCCUUCAGAGGGGGACAACAGUUGGAAACGACUGCUAAUACCGCAUACUGAAGGAGGGGAUUGCGUCUGAUUAGCUAGUUGGAGGGGUAACGGCCCACCAAGGCGAUGAUCAGUAGCCGGUCUGAGAGGCCGAACGGCCACAUGGGGACGGAGAAACGGCCCAGACUCCGACGGGAGGCAGCAGUGGGGGAUAUUGCACAAUGGGCGAAAGACUGAUGCAGCGACGCCGCGGGGGGGAUGAAGGCUUUCGGGUUGGAAACCUCUUUCGCUAUCGAACGGGUAGGUGGAGAAGAAGCGCCGGCUAACUACGUGCCAGCAGCCGCGGUAAUAC
rnacentral:rRNA from 1 species